GAUGAAGAACGCAGCGAAAUGCGAUAAGUAGUGUGAAUUGCAGAAUUCAGUGAAUCAUCGAAUCUUUGAACGCACAUUGCGCCCCUUGGUAUUCCAUGGGGCAUGCCUGUUCGAGCGUCAUUUACACCCUCAAGCUCCGCUUGGUGUUGGGCGUCUGUCCCGCUUCGUGCGCGGACUCGCCCCAAAGGCAUUGGCAGCGGUCCUUGCCAGCUUCUCGCGCAGCACAUUGCGCUUCUCGAGGCUGUCGGAUCGGCGUCCAUCAAGCCCACUUCCACAGUUUGACCUCGGAUCAGGUAGGGAUACCCGCUGAACUUAAGCAUAUCAAUAAGCGGAGGA
rnacentral:misc_RNA from 1 species